AAGAGGGCGGAAUACGAUAGAUCGCCAUGAACCAUGUCAGGUGGGGAACCAAGCAGCAUUAAGUGGUCUGACUAUGCGAUAUUUGCAGUUUUCUUUGC
rnacentral:SRP_RNA from 1 species